rnacentral:tRNA from 1 species
UCCCUUAUAGCUCAGUUGGUAAAGAAUCUGCCUGCAAUGCAGGAGACCCGGGUUCGAUUCCUGGGUUGGGAA